ensembl:lncRNA
GAGAGGAGGAGAGGAGGAGAGGAGGAGAGGAAGAGAGGAGAGGCGAGGAGAGGAGGAGAGGAGAGGAAAGGAGGAGAGGACAAGGAAUGAGAACUACGUCAACAAACUGUCUAAAAGUAGGUGUAGCAGGCAGGGGUUAGACAGUACAGAGACAGGUCAUUAAGGAGCAGGUGGGGGUUAGGGGACAUCUUACUUCAAUGAGGUUAGAAGUUUAGAGAGUGCUCAAUAGAAAUGGACUUUAGUUAUACCGCACUGUUCUAACCAGCGGCAACUCGCAGGGCGACAGCCAGCUCGUCGGGAGCAGUGAGCGUGAGUGCGCCUUGCUCAGGGACACCUCGACACUCGAGCCCGGGGAUCAAACCAGCAACCUUCAGGUUACCAGGUGAGCCGCUAUGCCCCCUGGACACAGACACCCUGCAGAGCCCCCCCCACUCUGAACACCUCCGUCACCACAGGGGGUCUGAGCAGACGCGCUGCACACAGACCUGUCAAUCCAGCGGUCUGAUGGGUCACACAGGGUGAGUGAGGAGGAGGAGGGGGAGGAGAGGGAGGUGGAGGUGAGGUAUGCUGAAGGUGGAGGUUCAGGGUCUACAGCCCUGCCCUCCGCCUGCUCUUUGACUGGACAGGAAUUCAGCCUGCAAGACGCUCAGCUAUUUCUGCGCGCGCACACACACACACACACACACACACACACACACACACACACACACACACACACACACACACACACACACACACACACACACACACACAGUGUUGACAGGCAGGUGAGAGAUCUUGCGCGGGCGUCGCGGACACAAGCAGGGUCUUGUGUCCGCCUCUCCGCAGAUCCUCCGCUCGCCGGAAUGCCGGAGACAAGAGAAUCUCCGCCGCCGCGCGGCCGCGAUUGAAGCCCGCCGCCAACCCUCGCCCACACCUGACAACACAACAACACGCCGCCCUGCCUCCCAAGCGCUCCCCUUUGUGGCGCUCCCACCUGUGUACUCAGCCGCCAGUAAACCCCCCGCUCCCCGGAGCUCUGCGAUCCGCCCCGCGACACCUUCCGCGUCUCGCUGGAACACCGAGGAGCAAACCUCACCGCUGACGGUUCCACUGAAGGACUUUAAAGGUUCCGAUUCAAAGCUUUGAUCGUUCUCCGCCCCACAUACAACAAGGAAGUGACUUGCUUCGGAUGAAAGCGUCUGCUACCUGACGGAGCCUACGUCAGGUGUCUGUCCUCCUCGCUCCUCCCUGAAGGAAUCCCAGAGCACCUCAGCUCCGGGUCUCUCUGAUCUGUGCUUAGGUCCCCUUGAGACGGCCUUAACAGCUCUGUCUCAGUUUAACGUUGUCGACCGCCUGAUGAAGUCGACCUCAGCCUCAAGGGUCCA